CAGGCAGAUACCAACAGUGACCGGCUCUUCACAGUGAACGAUGUUAAAGUCGGAGGCUCCAAGUAUGGUAUCAUCAACCUGCAAAGUCUGAAGACCCCUACGCUCAAGGUGUUCAUGCACGAAAACCUCUACUUCACCAACCGGAAGGUGAACUCGGUGUGCUGGGCCUCGCUGAAUCACUUGGAUUCCCACAUUCUGCUAUGCCUCAUGGGACUCGCAGAGACUCCAGGCUGUGCCACCCUGCUCCCAGCAUCACUGUUUGUCAAUAGUCACCCAGGUACAGGGUUCUUCUCCUUUAAAGAAAUCUGUCCUCUGUCUCCCGAGAGCUGUGUGGGGGUGGCUUAGAGAGAAGUAUGGGGCCGCUGCAGA
rnacentral:lncRNA from 1 species